CCUACGGGCGGCAGCAGUGGGGAAUAUUGGACAAUGGGGGGAACCCUGAUCCAGCCAUGCCGCGUGUGUGAAGAAGGCCCUCGGGUUGUAAAGCACUUUCAGUGAGGAAGAACGCCUGGUGGUUAAUACCCAUCAGGAAAGACAUCACUCACAGAAGAAGCACCGGCUAACUCCGCGCCAGCAGCCGCGGUAAUACGGAGGGUGCGAGCGUUAAUCGGAAUUACUGGGCGUAAAGCGCGCGUAGGUGGCUUGAUAAGCCGGUUGUGAAAGCCCCGGGCUCAACCUGGGAACGGCAUCCGGAACUGUCAAGCUAGAGUGCAGGAGAGGAAGGUAGAAUUCCCGGUGUAGCGGUGAAAUGCAUAGAGAUCGGGAGGAAUACCAGUGGCGAAGGCGGCCUUCUGGACUGACACUGACACUGAGGUGCGAAAGCGUGGGUAGCAAACAGGAUUAGAUACCCCAGUAGUC
rnacentral:rRNA from 1 species